rnacentral:rRNA from 1 species
GAUGAACGCUGGCGGCGUGCCUAACACAUGCAAGUCGAGCGAUUCUCUUCGGAGAAGAGCGGCGGACGGGUGAGUAACGCGUGGGUAACCUGCCCUGUACACACGGAUAACAUACCGAAAGGUAUGCUAAUACGGGAUAACAUAAGAAGUUCGCAUGUUUUUCUUAUCAAAGCUCCGGCGGUACAGGAUGGACCCGCGUCUGAUUAGCUAGUUGGUGAGGUAACGGCUCACCAAGGCAACGAUCAGUAGCCGACCUGAGAGGGUGAUCGGCCACAUUGGAACUGAGACACGGUCCAAACUCCUACGGGAGGCAGCAGUGGGGAAUAUUGCACAAUGGGCGAAAGCCUGAUGCAGCAACGCCGCGUGAGCGAUGAAGGCCCUCGGGUCGUAAAGCUCUGUCCUCAAGGAAGAUAAUGACGGUACUUGAGGAGGAAGCCCCGGCUAACUACGUGCCAGCCGCCGCUGUAACAC